GGCUGAUGCAGGCUCGGCAGAAGCUGUGCCCACAGCCCAUGAUCAUCACUGGGUCCUUGAAGAACUCCAGGCAGAUGAAACAGACAGCAAUCAUCAAUUCACAGAGAAGAACUGACUUAAGCCACAGCUAAUAGGACAACUGGUUCUGUUAUAAAAAUCCUAAAGCUCCAAUCCAGCCAACACUGUCUCACUUUUCUCUUGCUCAGCCUGCCAUUGCAAUCAGUGAUUGCCCUGUGCAGGAUCAGGGCCUGAAGAAGUGCUGUUGAAAACACCUUGACCGGAACAAACAACUGCUUGCUAAGUGAAACCCAGCUGGCCAGGAUGUAUGUGUUCUUUGACCCAGCAGCCGUGGAGGCCAACCAGAAGUCAUGGAUUCCAUGUGGGGAGAAAGACAGGAGGGGCUUGGGGGCUGACAGUGAAGGAACUGCAAGAGUCCAGGGAGCAGCUCAGGAAGCAGAGAUGUGGUGGGAAAAGAACAAAGACUAGAGAUGCAGCUGUGAAGAUUCAAAUCACUUCAUGGUCUAAUCUGCAGCCAGAUAAAAUGUGGCUGCAAGUAUUUGAUCUCAGUGUGCUUGGAUGCAUGUUGCAAAUCUCAGCAGGACUCCAGGGCUGUUAAAUCCCUUCAGUCAGUUUUGCUUCUUUCCCAGCAGCCAGACACUGUUGACUAAGAGGGAUUAUUUUCAGAAGAAUGUGGCAGCUUCUGGUUUUGUGGUGACCGAAUAUACAAAGUCAAACACGUGUCACUCACUUGCUGCUGCACUUUAAGAAGGUAUAUUUCUACUCUUAUCUGGAACCAGAGCCCAUGGCCACAAAACUCCUAUAUUAAUUACUAAAAAAAUCACCUGAAGAAGGAUGUCUGUCAUUUGAAAGCUUGUCUCACUCUAUCCAACUAUGCAGUUGGUCCAAUAAAAGAUACCACCCCCUCCCUGUCUCUCACAUGAAACCAUUAGUCAUGUUCAUUAACAUUAUUCAGUGCUUCUCUGGGACCACAAAUCUUCAUUGCACCUUACCAAGGGAGGAGAAAGCCAGGCAUGAAUUCUUGUUUUCCUGUAGAUUUAGAUAUUAAUUGAUUCAAUUGCU